rnacentral:hammerhead_ribozyme from 1 species
NNACUGAUGAAGAGUCCCAAAAUAGGACGAAACGGCCGUCCAGUGC